rnacentral:lncRNA from 10 species
CUCUAUAUUUCUAAAUAAUAUAGUUAUAUUUGAGUCUUUAUUUUCAAAGCCAAUAGUAUGGUUGCUCUAUCCCGGGGAUCCAUCUAUGUUAUAGCAAGUCUGCAAGUCACUGAGGGGCAGAAAGGUGCCUUUGGGUGAGGCAUGAUGGUCUCCUAGCUGGGAUCCCUCCCCCUGUGGCCUCCCCUGCAGAGGUUGGCCUUCUAAGCAGUUGAGCCCAGCGAUGAGCUAACACGGGGUUUUGCACUUUCACUUUGUGAAUCUGAGCACAGUUUUAGAGAUCCUUGCUCCACACAAGUGUAUGUGGAGCAGACAUGUGUGCUUAUGUAAUAGCACUCAGAUUCCUUCCUGACACUGGGAAGGUGAAAAUGGCAAUUGUUUCUGAAGUAGCCAGAGUGGUGUAAUGGAAAGAACUCAUGGACAAGAAUGCUUACCCUGAAGAGGCGUUGUUGUGAGGACCAAAUAAAAUAACAUUCACAAUGCACUGGAACAGGAUCUGGCAUAUAGCAGAACCUCAGUAAUUUCAUAUGCUCUCUCUCAGUUCAUAUACUAUAGUACAUAGUAUCUAUCUAUAGAUGUAUGUGUACAGAUAUCAUACAUAAUAUUUUACUUUUUUCAUAGAUAAAUGGACAGCAAAUCUAAUUCACUUUAUUUUGCAUAUUUACUAUUGUAUUUAUUUAAAAGAUUUAGCCUUUUUACUUUAACUUCUACUUAUGACUACCUAGAAUAAAA